GAUGAACGCUGGCGGCGUGCCUAAUACAUGCAAGUCGAGCGAACGGACGAGAAGCUUGCUUCUCUUAUGUUAGCGGCGGACGGGUGAGUAACACGUGGAUAACCUACCUAUAAGACUGGGAUAACUUCGGGAAACCGGAUCUAAUACCGGAUAAUAUUUUGAACCGCAUUGUUCAAAAGUGAAAGACGUUCUUUCUGUCCCUUAUAGAUGGAUCCGCGCUGCAUUAGCUAGUUGGUAAGGUAACGGCUUACCAAGGCAACGAUGCAUAGCCGACCUGAGAGGGUGAUCGGCCACACUGGAAGUGAGACACGGUCCAGACUCAUACGGGAGGCAGCAGGAGGGAAUGUUCAGCAAUGGGCGAAAGCAUGACGGAGCAACGCCGGGUGAGUGAUGAAGGUCUGCGGAUCGUAAAAAUCUGUUAUUAGGGAAGAACAUAUGUGUAAGUAACUGGGCAGAUCUUGACGGUACCUAAUCAGAAAGCAACGGCUAACUACGUG
rnacentral:rRNA from 1 species